rnacentral:lncRNA from 1 species
CCCAUGCGUUGGCCUGGAGUGGCCCAGCAGAGGGUCCAGGUGGGGGUGCUGGAGGGGCCCACCCAGCUCAGGCCUGGCACCUGCACCUUUCUGGAUCCCACGAUGUUUUGCUGAGGGUUACUCAUCCAAGGCCUGCCCGGAGGCUCCGAGCUGUUUACCACAGGCCAGCUCUGGCCGUAGGCUAUUCUGGGAGCCUGGGGGGGCUGGGAGGAGGCUGGGGCUCUGGGUGGCAGGAGGAGGAGAGCCGUCUUGUCCUUACUGAGCAUCCCUCCAGCCUGGGCAACAAGAGACAAACUCUGUCUCAAAAAAAACAAAAAUUAGUUAGAAGGAAGUGGGUCAGAUGUGGCCCCUACGGCCCCUCAAACAUAGAAUUCUUAGUUCUCUACCAAGAAACUACUUACAGCAAUGACCAGACUUCCAGGCCUACAUAUUAGUUAUAUGAAAGAGUCCAAAAAAAGUCCAGGGGCUGGGCUCACAGGGGCUCACACUUGUCAUCCCAGCACUUUCAGAGGCCUAGGUGGGCGGACUGAUUGAGCUAGGAGUUCGAGAGCAGCUGAGGAAACAGAGGGAGACCCCAUCUCUACAAAAAAUAAAAACAUGAGCCGGGCAUGGUGGUGCGUGCCUGUAGUCCCAGCUUCUCAGGGGGCUGAGGUGGGAGGAUCUCCUGAGCCCAGGAAACCGAGGCUGCAGUGAGCGGUGAUCACACCACCGCACCCCGGCCCGAGCAACAGCUGGACCCUGUCUCAAUAAAAACCCAAAAAUCAAAACAGCCAGACCUCUGCUUUCUGACCCUCGUGGGCCCUGUGAGGCCGCAGCCUGAGGGAGAAGAUGCCCAGGGCUGGGACAGCCGCACCAAGUUCCUGCCGGAGUCGGGGAGGCCGAUCCUGCCGGGGGCCCCGGAGAAGGCAGAGCAGAGGGCACAGCACCCGGGGAUUCAGCCGGCCCCGCGUCCUGGGGAUGCUACCUGACGGGGCGCUCUGUGCCCUAAGGGGCCCUUGAAGGCAAGGGGAUGGGCUGCAGGGAUGGGCUGCAGGCCACCGAGCCCCAAAGCCACAUCCCCAGACCAGACAGCCCGAGGAACUGGAGGAGGAGGGAGGAGUUGGCCCCACAGCAGACGGCACUUGGCGUGGCCGCAAGCUGGGCCGGCCUCAGCACUUUGCACACAGAGUCUUCGGUGAGUCUUUGCUACAAAGCACACGUUGCUAUCAUUGUGGUCACUAUUUUUACAGAGAAACUUGACCUCUUCGCCAGCCUCACCCACUCAGCCGUAUGCUGGGUUUAAGCCAUCUUGGAAUUCUGGACACUUAGGAACAAGAAGCCCACAUCUGCUUCCCGGGGUCCUGCCCUUCCCUGGGGGUCCCCGUGCUGGAGGCAGCAGUUGGGGUGUGGGAGGGAAAGGCCAGCGCUGUGGGAGGGGCUGGGCUGAGGGCGGGCUUGGAGCCAGCACAUGGGGGCUAGGUCUGGCUUGUCCGUCACCAGCCAGACGGCACUGGGCAUGUCAGGGAAUCUCUCAGAGCUCAGUUUCCUACUGUGGGAGGGAGCUGCUGGCUCUCACUUUGUCGUGAGGACUAAACUAGCUGCCGUCUGUGGCCAGACCAUGGGGCUCUGAGUCCUCUUGUCACUGGGUCUUGGCCUUGACCUCCCCUUCUCUCUCGUGAAGCUGUCGGCUUCGUGGAGACACAGCCACUUCAGUCCUCUCAUAAGCCUAUGCCCAGCAUCUGCCAGGGGCCAGGUCCUGGGCUAGUAACCCGGCACUGGGAGCCCAGGCUCCGCUCUUGUCCAGGGGAAGCUCCAGCCUUGGGAAAAGCAGGUGGGAGACGCAGAUUCUAAGUACCUGACCGAGGGACGCCUCGAGGACGUGAGGGAGGCCGGGCACCGUCCGUGGAGGGGCCCUGUGAGCGGGCCCAGCAGAUAGACAGGGAGCACCUCCAUGGAGGAGACGGAGACCCCCUGUGAGGGCCCUGUGGCUUCUGCGGCUCCCGCGGCUCCCGGUGCUGGCUGUGGGUGGUUUGCCGGUCGGCCUGCCUGUAGUUCUCGGUGGCCGCUCGGAAACACGUCCUUUCUUAUGAAGAAGCAGAAGUCACAGCCGAGUUGAAAGGAAUCGGAAGAGGGUUUGGGUGCUGCUCCGUCACGGCCUAGAUCAUCGCGAGGCCACGGCCCCGCAGUACAGAGGGGCCCGGGGAGGGUGGGGACAGGAAUUGAAGACGUCAUCAGUUAAAUCGUCUCCUUCCUCCAACAGGUAGAGUAUGAUCCUGAGUCCAUCAACACUUCCUAACGUGCAUGUAGAAAGCCAAAAUUGUUAAGAUUUGCGAAAUACUUUUACCUCCAAGUUGGCAGUGACAUCAUUCUGUAUUUUCCUGGGUGCAGAGGAGUAAUUUCAGAAGGAGACAUUUUGUAAAAUUAAAAGGUAUUCACCAAAUAUUUCAUGCAUGAGUGUAAUCUACAGGUUUGCUGAUUAGGGAUGAAAACGCAUAUAUUA